GAAAACCCACGAUUUCACCUGAAGAGAAAUAACUCCCCAGUUCGGCAGUUCCCCCUCAACUCUCAUCUUUCUUCAAUUCUGCGUAAUCAAUGGAGAAAGAAAAACUCUCUACGCAGGAAAGUAAAUCUUUGGAAGUCAGGGUUUGCUUCGAGUUGGUUCUUCUUGAUUUGAUUUUCUGAAACUAGGUUUUUAGAGUAGAAUUAGUUCAUUGUAUGAAUUAACCUUAUCGUAUAUCGAUCUUCAAUUUUUUACACUGGUUAGUAGUUAUAUCUUCUUCAAUUUGAAGUAUUUAUGGAUAUUGGAUCAGAUUUGUAAUAAGGAAAGCCAACAAUUCCUUCAUUCUCUGCAGGACUUCGUCGAUUUUGAAUUGAAAUCGUACUUCCGCAAUGUGUAAGAGAUGUGCAUCUGGACUAGAUGAGUGUUCAAGGCUCUAUUCUUAUGAAACCAGCUGUUUGAGGAUAGGUUAUUUGGCUUAAUUCUCAAGAGUUUGUGAUCUGUAAACGAGUUACAUAUUCAACUGGAGCCUGGGAACGAUACAUUACAAGGUAAUUCGGUAAAAAAGCUGGAGGAGUGUUUACCCAUAUCGUCAUUGUUGAAGAACUUCUACUCAUCAUUGUUGAAUGUUGAGUCUGCCCCUUUGUUAUCCAGAGCAUCGGCAGUCUAAUUUCCUUCCCUGUAUGUGUGAGUAAUCUUUAUAUUCAGAAUUUGGUGAAGAAGCUCCCGACAAUGUGUGUUAAGACACCAUAUCGGAAGACAUGCUGAUAAACUUUUGGAAGUAAUAAAUGUUAAAGCAUCCAUGAUAUAUUUACUAUCUUACGUUUUUCCAUCUUCUACUAAAUUUCCUUGGAAAUUGGAAUUUUGUA